rnacentral:tRNA from 1 species
GGCCGUGUAGCUCAGUGGAUAGAGCGGAACUUUCCUAAGGUUCAGGUCCAAGGUUCGACCCCUUGCUCGGUCG